AUACGGAGGGUGCGAGCGUUACCCGGAUUUACUGGGCGUAAAGGGCGCGUAGGCGGUCUAUCAAGUCAGGUGUGAAAUCCCACGGCUCAACCGUGGAGGUGUAUCUGAAACUGAUAGACUUGAGUAUGGGAGAGGAAAGUGGAAUUCCCGGUGUAGAGGUGAAAUUCGUAGAUAUCGGGAGGAACACCAGUGGCGAAGGCGACUUUCUGGACCAAUACUGACGCUGAGGCGCGAAAGCGUAGGGAGCAAACAGGAUUAGAUACCCCAGUAGUCC
rnacentral:rRNA from 1 species